rnacentral:tRNA from 1 species
UUAAAAAUAAGCUAAAAUUAAGCUUUUGGGUGGUUUCAUACCCCAAAUAUAAAGGAAAUCAUUUCCUUUUUUUUAAA